rnacentral:rRNA from 1 species
CAGUAGCCACGGUAAUACGAGGGGGGCAAGCGCUGUUCGGAAUUAUUGGGCGUAAAGGGUGCGUAGGCGGUUUCGUAAGUCUGAUGUGAAAUCUAUGGGCUCAACCCAUAGUCUGCAUCGGAAACUGCGAGGCUUGAGAGUGGGAGAGGUGAGUGGAAUUUCCGGUGUAGCGGUGAAAUGCGUAGAUAUCGGAAGGAACACCUGUGGCGAAAGCGGCUCACUGACCAUUUCUGACGCUGAUGCACGAAAGCUAGGGGAGCAAACAGGAUUAGAUACCCCGGUAGUCCCUGUCUCUUAUACA